UACGGAGGGUGCAAGCGUUAUCCGGAUUCACUGGGUUUAAAGGGUGCGUAGGUGGGUCUGUAAGUCCGUGGUGAAAUCUCCGAGCUUAACUUGGAAACUGCCAUGGAUACUAUAGGUCUUGAAUAUUGUGGAGGUCAGCGGAAUAUGUCAUGUAGCGGUGAAAUGCUUAGAUAUGACAUAGAACACCAAUUGCGAAGGCAGCUGGCUACGCAUAUAUUGACACUGAGGCACGAAAAGCGUGGGGGAUCAAAACAGG
rnacentral:rRNA from 1 species